rnacentral:rRNA from 1 species
UACGGAGGGUGCAAGCGUUAUCCGGAUUCACUGGGUUUAAAGGGAGCGCAGGCGGACUUGUAAGUCAGUGGUGAAAUACCUGGGCUUAACUCGGGAACUGCCAUUGAUACUAUAGGUCUUGAAUGUUGUUGAGGUUUGCGGAAUGGGUCAUGUAGCGGUGAAAUGCAUAGAUAUGACCCGGAACACCUAUUGCGAAGGCAGCAGGCUAAACAAAUAUUGACGCUGAGGCUCGAAAGCGUGGGGAUCAAACAGG